rnacentral:misc_RNA from 1 species
GAGCGUGGGGCGCCGGGGAGG